rnacentral:rRNA from 1 species
GCGGAGGAAAAGAAACUAACAAGGAUUCCCCUAGUAACGGCGAGUGAAGCGGGAAAAGCUCAAAUUUUAAAUCUGACUGACAUGAUUUCAGUCCGAGUUGUAAUUUGAAGAAGUGCGUCGCGUCUGGAACGUUGACACAAGUCCUCUGGAACGGGGCAUCAUAGAGGGUGAGAAUCCCGUCUUUGGUCUUUGUUCCGGGUGCACACGGCGCUCUUUCUAAGAGUCGAGUUGUUUGGGAUUGCAGCUCAAAAAGGGUGGUAAACUCCAUCUAAGGCUAAAUACAGGCGAGAGACCGAUAGCGAACAAGUACCGUGAGGGAAAGAUGAAAAGAACUUUGAAAAGAGAGUCAAACAGUACGUGAAAUUGUUGAAAGGGAAACGAUUGAAGUCAGUCGUGCCGGUGGGGAUUCAGCCACUCGGACUCGUUCGGGUUGUGCAUUUUCUCGCAUGGCAGGUCAGCGUCAGUUUUGGUUGCCGUGAAAUGAUUCUGGUAAGGUAGCUCUCUUCGGGGAGUGUUAUAGACCGGAGUAGAUGCGGUGACCGGGACUGAGGAUUGCAGCAGACAUCCUUCGGGGCGCUGUGGUCGGCCCCUGUUCGUGUACCCGUGUCCGACAGCGUGCUGACGGGCGUGGGAGCGCGCGGGCACCGGGUUGACGUCACAUGCGGUUUGCUAAGGACGCUGACGUAAUGGCUUUAAACGACCCGUCUUGA